CACUUAUCCCUCUCACUCAUCACCUCAAAUGUUAUCGACUUAUCGCUUCUCUGUCUUUAACCUAGACUGCCAACGCCACCAAUCCACCAUCGCUCAUCGCUCAUCGCUCAUCGCAAAGUCUUCUCGUCUCCGCCUCUCUACCUCUCACUCUCUAACUCUCUCAACCACUUCGUCUCCAGCGGUGGCCGCCAAUGUCGACUCGUGGCUUGUUACCGACAUACUGGAGAUAUUCCGUCUCGUUUCUCCCUCAUGGUGCAAAAGUUUCAGAUUUUCACUCCAAAUAUUGGAGUUGUAUACAGUGACAUGUGACCUGAUUCUAGAGUUUUGGUUCAAAAAAGUAGGAAGCAAGCUGAACAAUAUCACCACCUCUAUAAAGUAUGAAUUCUUUGUGUUCAAGCUCUGGAAGUUGCAUUUUAUUACCAUCAUUUUGCUUUGUGUGCAAGAACCUUUUAUGUUCUUCAACUUGGUGUGGAGGCUGGACAUCAACUUGGUUGGGAACCAACGACAGAAUCAUUAUUAUUGGGCACAUGGCAUGUGGGGCACAUGACACUAUCCAUUGUUAAAUUGAACUAUGGAUCAAGGUCUGAAACUGAAGUAUGUCAUUGGUUCUUUAACUGAACAUAGUAAGGGCAUUACAUGCUUAGCUUUCAGUAUGGAUGGAUCCCUGUUGGUGUCUGGAUCAGAGGAUGGCACGAUUCGAGUUUGGGAUACUAAAAACCACAACAUCACUCGCAUCUUUGGGCAUGGAAAAGGUGUCAUGAAUCCACAUGCUAAAGUGGUGCAGCGGUGGAACAAAUUCUGUCUUCUCAUGUUCAUUUGCAGUUUUUAUUGAUCCCUUGUUCUUCUUUUUGCUGACUGUGAAUAAGGAUAACAAAUGCAUUGUACUGAACUGGCCCUUGACAACCACAAUUGUGAUUUUGAGGAGCUUGACUAAUUUCAUAUACUUAAUACACAUGCUACUUCGGGUGACUAUUCUCCUCACAGAGUUCAGAUCAAAGCCAUGUGGUGGGGUCAUGUUGGUAUCUUUUUGGAUUACAGAGGGUGAAUCAAUGUCUUCGUGAUGCCUGUCAUACUUCUGAAAUAGGAAGGUGCAGGGAAUUCAUUGACUGUGGGCACGACAAUGAUUACAGUAAAUUCUCAUCAGAUCCAGCAUGGAAUCAAUGGAAGAAUGAUACAAAUUCAAUUGCUUGUUUUAGUACUAAUUGUUUUGAUUAUGGAAUAUAUGAGCAAGCAGUCAACCUCACAACAAAGCAUAGUUUAUUUACGAGAUAUAUAUACUCACUGUUUUGGGGCUUCCAGCAAAUAAGUACGCUUGCUGGGAAUCUAGUUCCAAGUUACUUCGAGUGGGAAGUUCUUUUCACCAUGGCCAUUAUUGGACUAGGCCUCUUACUGUUUGCUAUGCUCAUUGGAAAUAUGCAAAACUUUCUACAGUCUCUUGGUAGCAGGCAGUUGGAAAUGUCACUGAGGCGUCUCGAAGUUGAGAAGUGGAUGAGCCACCGAGGCUUGCCAGAGGGAUUAAGAAGGUACCUAUCUACCUAGCUACUUUCUAAGUUUUUCUUUUUGAAUCUUUCUGCUCUUCCACCACUGGCUGCCUUUUGCUAUAAAAGUUCAGGACUUGGAAGAAGAUGUUGUGUGCUCGUUCCUUUAUCCGUCAAAUCCUCUUUCACCCAUCAUUGAAUCCAAAAGUUUCUCCCGUUUUGUGGUAGCCAUUUACGGUUUAGAACUUUAAAUAGAUGCUUAUAACUCAUUUGUAGUAACACUUAAGAAUAGACCAUUUGUAGCAAUUGUUUCAAGCUUCUUAUAACUCAUUUGGAUGCUGAAACAAUUGCUACAAAACCUUAUUAGCAUGCAUGUUUAGCUAAUAUUUUGACAAAUGUAUUUUUGAUGGUGAAACAAUUGUUACAUCUUGAUUUAAAUGAUUGACUAAUGUUUGAUUUUCUUAAA